rnacentral:rRNA from 1 species
CUACGUGCCAGCAGCCGCGGUAAUACGGAGGAUGCGAGCGUUAUCCGGAUUUAUUGGGUUUAAAGGGUGCGUAGGCGGCCUGUUAAGUCAGCGGUGAAAUCUAGGAGCUUAACUCCUAAAUUGCCAUUGAUACUGGCGGGCUUGAGUGUAGAUGAGGUAGGCGGAAUGCGUGGUGUAGCGGUGGAAUGCAUAGAUAUCACGCAGAACUCCGAUUGCGAAGGCAGCUUACUAAGGUACAACUGACGCUGAAGCACGAAAGCGUGGGUAUCAAACAGGAUUAGAUACCCUGGUAGUCCACGCAGUAAACGAUGAUAACUGGGCGUAUGCGAUAUACAGUAUGCUCCUAAGCGAAAGCGUUAAGUUAUCCMCCUGGGGAGUACGCCGGCAACGGUGAAACUCAAAGGAAUUGACGGGGGCCCGCACAAGCGGAGGAACAUGUGGUUUAAUUCGAUGAUACGCGAGGAACCUUACCCGGGCUUGA